GCCUGGAUGGCUCAGUCAGUAGAGCAUGGGACUCUUGAUCUCAGGGUGGUGAGUGCCAGCCCCACGCUGGGUG
rfam:Felis catus isolate Cinnamon breed Abyssinian chromosome C1, whole genome shotgun sequence.